CCUACGGGAGGCAGCAGUGAGGAAUAUUGGUCAAUGGCCGCAAGGCUGAACCAGCCAAGUCGCGUGAGGGACGACUGCCCUAUGGGUUGUAAACCUCUUUUAUAAGGGAAGAAUAAAUGCCACGUGUACCAUUUUGCCUGUACCUUAUGAAUAAGCAUCGGCUAACUCCGUGCCAGCAGCCGCGGUAAUACGGAGGAUUCGAGCGUUAUCCGGAUUUAUUGGGUUUAAAGGGAGCGUAGGUGGGUUUUUAAGUUAGUUGUUAAAGUGUGGGGCUUCACCUUGGAAUUGCAAUUAAUACUGUAAGACUCGAGUUCAGACGAGGUAGGCGGAAUAAGUGAAGUAGCGGUGAAAUGCUUAGAUAUAACUUAGAACUCCGAUAGCGAAGGCAGCUUACCAAACUGCGACUGACACUGAAGCACGAAAGCGUGGGUAGCAAACAGGAUUAGAUACCCUAGUAGUC
rnacentral:rRNA from 1 species